rnacentral:lncRNA from 1 species
CACCCCAAUCUAUUCUUCAAUUUAAAAUAAGCCCUCUAAUUUUAACUUUUUAAUUAAAAAAAAUUACUUAUAGAAUAACUAUCAAAACUAUAAAAUUUGAUUAAACUUUUAACUCAAAUUGUUAAAAUAAUUCAACCCUAUAAAUAUUGACAGUAAAGAAAAAAAAUUAUAGUGCUCGUAAGAUUAUUUUAUAGAUUUUUUUUUAUUUUCUAAUAUAAUUUUUUACUUUUAAAUUUUAAUAAUUAUAUAUUUUAACUGAUUUCCAUCCACCGCGAAGCGCGGCCCUAUACUAGUUCAUAUUAAUUUAGCUGUUUAACUCUUCUUUACAUAUGUGGGUGGAUGGGAGUUGGAAAGGUGGCACUGCCGGUGGUGUAGAAUGCCUGAUCACCAAUCACCAUGGAAUCAUAAUGUGCAUAUCCUAUGUAAUGCAGGGGUUCAUGACUCUGCGAAAAUUGGAGCAAAUUUUCAAGUGACAAAUCUUUUGUUGUAAAGGUAUCCAGAAGAAACUUUUCAUAUCUACUCAGAUUUAGCACUUAUCAUUAAAGCCUUGUACCUUAGAAGCUAUUAUUCAGAUUUGCUAACAGUUGAAGCUCGAACAAGAAUCACAUAUCUUUGGACUUUUCUAGAAAGAUCUAAGCAAUUUAGCUAUGUAUGGUCUUCAAGAUAUUCUAAAAAUGCUAUAGUUGCGGAUUGCUUGGCGAGUUGGGGAGUCAUUAGCAACAAUUUUUUUUUUGGUCCUCUGUAGAUGAAUUCACUCAAGCUGUACCUCUCGAUUGAUAAAUAAAAU